UGUCAGUUCCCCUGUGCAAAGGGAGCAUGCUGGCUACUGGCAUCUCGAUUUGCAAUCAAAUAGUUUCCUUCCCCAACAGAACUUGGGUUUGCAAUAGGCCAGUUUGGGGAGACAAAACGAUUAGGUGUUCCCACCUGCUCAAUUUACAGCAGUCUUGAGCAAUUAAUCCCUAUGAUCAUAUAAACAUACUGUGACCAGUGAAGCAGAAAGGAAGGUUAUGUUUGCAUUGUUGGCACCUGCAUCCUCUCGCCCUAUCACAGCCCACCUCAUUGUGUGAGCUUUGUGUAUCCCUGGAUGAGAUGACAGCACGUGUUGAACUGGUGCAUGCACUCUAGCUCUAGUCAAGUGUUUCCUGAGAUGUACUGUUAACAAGCAGAUAGCCAGGGACAGCUAAUGGGGUACCUGCACUCUCAAGCCCAUGCUGCUCAGUUGAGACUUGUUAAUAGAUUGGAAUAGCUUGCAGGGCCAGGCCACACAAUUUAACUUGAAUACACAGCUGCAGGAUAUUUAAACAAGAACAUUUCUCGUUGCCUUCAGGUAAGCAUUUCCACAUAGCUGUGGAAAUGGUGAGCAAGAUUUUGGAAAGCUACGGAAAUAUUUGGUUAGAGCAGCUUAGCUGAAGCAUACCUGCAGAGGCUGCACAGACAAAUGACUUGCUUCUGGCAUUGAGGACAGAUGUUGGAAAUGAAGAAAACCACAAAAAUAAUUGGAUGGGAAUGAGAAACUUGAAAAAACUCCUCAAACUGACCAGUUUUGUUCAGUACCAAAGGAAUUGAGACAUUUCCCAUGGUGCAGAAUAUCUUCAGUUCCCUCUCUUCAAACUCCGAGGAUCUUCAGAUCUGCAUCCCCUCCUUCCUGUAAAAUAUUCCCAGAAGAAUGUUAUUCAGAGAAGGAUCUCCCAGGUCAUCCAUCAAUGCUGUCAGACCUCAAAAUCUACUAGAGUAUGAUGUGAACCCAGAAUCCAGAGACAGAAGUCAUCAAAAUGGAGGCAAGAGAGCAGGACCUUCUGAGCUGGAUUCUUUGAGGCAGGUUGAAUAA
rnacentral:lncRNA from 1 species